CAUAUGUGGAGCUGAACAAAAUUUGUUUUAUAAUUUUUAGAUUUUUCUAUGAACUACUAUGUAUUUAUUAAUUUUCAGCCGAUUUAAAAAAUAAAAGAAAAGUAAAUUGGAGAUUUUACAUUGGGAAUCUUAGAAAUUUUUUAUUUUUUCUCUCUUCCAUCGUAACGAUUGUAAGUAAUAUGAGAUUUUGCAUUAGAAACUCUAGAAUGUUUUUUAUUUUGUUUUUCGCUUCUAGAAACGUUGGAGGGAGGAGGCGAUCGUAACCGAACACGGACAGGAGGUGAUCGUAACCGGACAGGAUUAGGGGCAGAAGAAAGUAUUUGGCAAACUGAAAUUUUGACUCUUUAUAGAUAGAAAAUAUAGAUUCUUGGAGCUACAAACACUCAGUUACAACAAGAUGCUAGAGAUUUUAUUUUAUCGACCUGAAGCUCGGCUCGGCCACGGCGCAGGGAUGUUGACACGAUGGAUGUAGAUCAUGUGGAUCAAGGGCUGAAACUUCAGGUGCUAGUUGGGUGGUUCAACGCUCGAGGCGGCACGACGAGCGGCAGUGUGUCCGGCGGUACGUGAUCGGGGCGGGGUAGAUGCACGCACGCACGUACGGGCACGGCCCACACAACAAUCAGCCGGCGCGCGCUGAGUAUGGAAAAUAUUAGGCCCUGUUUAGUUUUGAUAAUUUUUUGGUUUUUGGGACUGUAGCACUUUCGUUUUUAUUUGACAGAUAUUAUUCAAUCAUGGAGUAACAAGAUUUAAAAGAUUUAUCUCGUGCUGUGUAUAGUUUUUAUUUUUUAUCUAUACUAGCAAAUAUGCCCGUGCGUUGCAACGGGAGAAAAACAUUAAAUGACCAU
rnacentral:lncRNA from 1 species